CUUUGCCCUGAUAUAUCUUUGAGAGAGUGAAGAGUUGAGCCUGUCUGGACAGGGUAUCUGUUAAAAGUAAGAUUCUGGCAGACAGAUGCCUAGAUCUAUUCAUCUUAGAGCUGCCCAAGACAAAUUUGUAGUCCUCCAGGUGACCCCAGUGAACACUACAAUGAAAGCCUGUAUUCUGGGACGGUGAUACUGGAAAUCAUCUAUUAUGGACCUGAAGAAGUAAUCAGCACUGGAAACAACAGAAAUAGGAGGGGCUUUUAACAUUGGAAACCGCGUCUUGGUGCCUUCGUUGGAGAGGAACAUGAAGGCUGACCUCAGGGGAUCCGCAGGAAGCCCAGACAGAUACAGGCAGGGGCUGUCUGCAGACAAACCAUCUCUCCUGUUUCCACCCGCCUCUCCAACUUACCCUGUUUUUGUCUUUUUUUUUUUUUUCUUUUCCUUGAAGGUCUAAAUGCCUUUGAAAGCCUCUGGAUAAACAUAUAUCCACCGCUAUACCAAUUUGCACGGUUCUUUCCUAUUGAUUUAGCUUGUAAUUUAUUUCUUUAUUUCUGACAGAUUUCACUUACAUUCCCAGGUAAGGGCGAAGUGCUGAAGCUAGAAAAUUGUAAUUAAAUAAUCGGGUGACUGGCAGGCUGGGAGAGGCUCUGAAGCUGCUCUUCGUGGGUCAUCCAAAAGAAGGCAGAGACAGGAGUGGCAAGUGAUGGGAAAGCCAUGUGCUUGUAGGCAUGGGUAGGCUUUAUUUUUGUAAAUAAGAAUCAAAGCGGGUUUUCAUGCUGAAUUACGGCAGUUCCUUCAAAGUGCCAUGAAAUGGUAUAUUAUUACCCAUUGCAUGCCUGAUUCCCUCAGCCGGGAGCCGGGGAGGGAAAGGGCCCACUGUGUUAUCCACUGCCAGCUCUUUAAUGAGAUGAUGAGAUGUGCAAACUGCAUAGUGUGCAAUAUUUUUCUUCCCGACUCAAUCUAUAAUAAGUCGAUAGCCCGCUGAAACCCAGGGUUUGGUGCAUUUUUCCAAUUUACUUGCUGUCGAUGACUCUGAAAGUGCUGAUCCCAUCAAACCACCCCUCUCCCACACAGAUUUCAAUAACUUGGGAAAA